AUGGAGUCUGUGCUCCAUUGGGUUUUCCAUGUUGCUAUUUUAAAAGGUGGUGUCCAGGGUGAGGUGCAGCUGGUGGAGUCUGGGAGAGACCUGGUGAAGCCUGGGGGGUCCCUGAGACUCUCCUGUGUAGCCUCUGCAUUCACUUUCAGGAGUUACUGGAUAAGCUGGGUCCGCCAGGCUCCAGGGAAAGGGCUGCAGUGGGUCUCAGUAAUUGACAAAGAUGGAAGUACCACAUACCACGCAGAUGCUGUGAAGGGCCGAUUCACCAUCACCAGAGACAAUGCCAAGAACACACUAUAUCUGCAGAUGAACAGCCUGAGAGCUGAGGACACGGCUGUGUAUUACAGUGCACACACCGUGAGGGGACCACAAUCUAUAUCUCCCCAUGACAACAGCCACACCUCUUACGUUCAAAAGGAGGUUGAUUUUCCACCUGUAGACUUGCAGUGUUUGUUCUCUCAGACCUCUGAGUGA